AUACGGAGGGUCCAAGCGUUAUCCGGAAUCAUUGGGUUUAAAGGGUCCGCAGGCGGUCAAUUAAGUCAGAGGUGAAAGCCCAUCGCUCAGCGAUGGAACUGCCUUUGAUACUGGUUGACUUGAGUUAUACGGAAGUAGAUAGAAUAAGUAGUGUAGCGGUGAAAUGCAUAGAUAUUACUUAGAAUACCGAUUGCGAAGGCAGUCUACUACGUAUAUACUGACGCUGAGGGACGAAAGCGUGGGGAGCGAACAGGAUUAGAAACCCCAGUAGUCC
rnacentral:rRNA from 1 species